UACAGAGGUCCCGAGCGUUGUUCGGAUUCAUUGGGCGUAAAGGGGGCGUAGGCGGGGGGGCAGGUCGGUGGUGAAAUCCCGGGGCUCAACCCCGGAACUGCAUUGGAUACUGCCUUGCUUGAGUACUGGAGAGGGAACUGGAAUUUACGUUGUAGCAGUGAAAUGCGUAGAUAUUGGGAGGAACACCUGCGGCGAAGGCGGCUACCUGGACAGAAACUGACGCUGAGGCGCGAAAGCUAGGGGAGCGAACGGG
rnacentral:rRNA from 1 species